AGGGGGCAGUUUACUGCUCUCGCUAUUAGAUGAGCCUAAGUCGGAUUAGCUAGAUGGUGGGGUAAAGGCCUACCAUGGCGACGAUCUGUAGCUGGUCUGAGAGGAUGAUCAGCCACACCGGGACUGAGACACGGCCCGGACUCCUACGGGAGGCAGCAGUGGGGAAUAUUGGACAAUGGGGGAAACCCUGAUCCAGCCAUGCCGCGUGUGUGAAGAAGGCCUUUUGGUUGUAAAGCACUUUAAGCAGUGAAGAAGACUCUUCGGUUAAUACCCGGAGACGAUGACAUUAGCUGCAGAAUAAGCACCGGCUAACUCUGUGCCAGCAGCCGCGGUAAUACAGAGGGUGCAAGCGUUAAUCGGAAUUACUGGGCGUAAAGCGAGCGUAGGUGGCUUGAUAAGUCAGAUGUGAAAUCCCCGGGCUUAACCUGGGAACUGCAUCUGAAACUGUUAGGCUAGAGUAGGUGAGAGGGAAGUAGAAUUUCAGGUGUAGCGGUGAAAUGCGUAGAGAUCUGAAGGAAUACCGAUGGCGAAGGCAGCUUCCUGGCAUCAUACUGACACUGAGGCUCGAAAGCGUGGGUAGCAAACAGGAUUAGAUACCCUGGUAGUCCACGCCGUAAACGAUGUCUACUAGUCGUUGGGUCCCUUGAGGACUUAGUGACGCAGCUAACGCAAUAAGUAGACCGCCUGGGGAGUACGGCCGCAAGGUUAAAACUC
rnacentral:rRNA from 1 species